UACGAAGGGGGCUAGCGUUGCUCGGAAUUACUGGGCGUAAAGCGCACGUAGGCGGCUUUGUAAGUUAGAGGUGAAAGCCUGGAGCUCAACUCCAGAAUUGCCUUUAAGACUGCAUCGCUUGAAUCCAGGAGAGGUGAGUGGAAUUCCGAGUGUAGAGGUGAAAUUCGUAGAUAUUCGGAAGAACACCAGUGGCGAAGGCGGCUCACUGGACUGGUAUUGACGCUGACGGUGCGAAAGCGUGGGGAGCAAACAGGG
rnacentral:rRNA from 1 species